AACGAACGCUGGCGGCAGGCUUAACACAUGCAAGUCGAGCGAGGGCUUCGGCCCUAGCGGCGGACGGGUGAGUAACGCGUGGGAACGUGCCCGAAGGUACGGAAUAGUCCUGGGAAACCGGGUUUAAUGCCGUAUGUGCCCAUGCCGAGUGGAUCGGCGUGGGGAAAGAUUUAUCGCCUUCGGAUCGGCCCGCGUUGGAUUAGGUAGUUGGUGGGGUAACGGCCCACCAAGCCGACGAUCCAUAGCUGGUUUGAGAGGAUGAUCAGCCACACUGGGACUGAGACACGGCCCAGACUCCUACGGGAGGCAGCAGUGGGGAAUCUUGGACAAUGGGGGCAACCCUGAUCCAGCCAUGCCGCGUGAGCGAUGAAGGCCUUAGGGUUGUAAAGCUCUUUCAGCUGGGAAGAUAAUGACGGUACCAGCAGAAGAAGCCCCGGCUAACUCCGUGCCAGCAGCCGC
rnacentral:rRNA from 1 species